GGAAUAGAAAUGCUUCCACUUCUGUUGGACCAUCCAGAAACCUCAGCAGGAACAAAGGCUAAAGAAAAUGCUCUAGCACAAAGAAGUCAGAAGGGAGGAGAGAUGGUCAUCAAUGUCGCACCUCUAGAAAAGGCCCUAGGAAAGAGGAAACUGCAGGCAGGAAGACGACACUGAUAGUUCAUCCUCAUCUGAGCCUGAUUCGGACUCCUCUGGGAUCAAGAAGGGCAAGAAGAGCGUAUCAGCGCAUAAAGGCCAAGAAAAGAGGCAAAACACCAAGAGUGAAAACACCAGAUCACUCCAUCCACCGCUACAACCUGGUACUUAUGAAGGUCAAAAAGUAGGGGAUCAGCAAAUCUGAAGCAUAUGUGAAACGGUAUAUAGAAACACCAUAGUUUACCAGGCCCCAAUAGCUGAACUAGCAGCAGCUAACCCUGAUGUAUUUAAAACACUCAGAGCUAGCUUUAAGAGAAAGGAUAUUCUAAAGCGAUUUGCAGAGAACUGCAGGAGCUUCUGCGAGCAGGAGCCCACUGCUACAGCGAUCAUUAAAAAGAAGGAUGAGGGAACCCUUGCUCGAUAUCUACAAAAGUAUUUUGGGUUUUUUUCUUGUUGUGUAAUUUUAUGAGUUGUUUGUAGAAUGUUUUUGCCUUUAGACAGGAUCUUUAUGUGAAGUUAAAGACACAGUGUUAAAACAUAGAGUCAAACCACUUGAAAUAGUAUAUAAAGGAACAUGGUAUUGUUAACUGUAUGUGUUUACAGUAUUCAUUCAAUAAAAUAAA